rnacentral:tRNA from 1 species
GGGAUUGUAGUUAAUAAUAACAUUUGGUUUGCAACCAAAAAGUACUAAUAUAGUCUAUCUCA